rnacentral:rRNA from 1 species
GACCACACGAAGCUGGAAUCGCUAGUAAUCGCGAAUCAGAAUGUCGCGGUGAAUACGUUCCCGGGUCUUGUACACACCGCCCGUCACACCAUGGGAGUCAGCAACGCCCGAAGUCAGUGACCUAACCGAAAGGGAGGAGCUGCCGAAGGCGGGGCCGGUAACUGGGGUGAAGUCGUAACAAGGUAAC